GUAGUCAUAUGCUUGUCUCAAAGAUUAAGCCAUGCAUGUUAAAGUAUAAGCAAUUAUGCCGUGAAACUGCGAAUGGCUCAUAAAAUCAGUUAUCUUAUAUUUGAUAGUACCUUACUACGGGGAUAACCGUGGUAAUUCUAGAGAUAAUACAUGCUGAAAACCCCAACUUCGGGAGGGGUGUAUUUAUUAGAUAAAAAACCAACGCCCUUCGGGGCUUCUUGGAGAUUCAUGAUAAAUUCACGGAUGGCAUGGCCAUGCGCCGGCGACGGUUCAUUCAAAUUUUUGCCCUAUCAACUUUAGAUGGUAAGGUAGUGGCUUACCAUGGUUCAACGGGUAACGGGGAAU
rnacentral:rRNA from 1 species